rnacentral:tRNA from 1 species
GGGCCGGUAGAUCAGCGGAAGAUCGCCGCCUUCGCAAGGCGGAGGUCCCGGGUUCAAAUCCCGGCCGGUCCA